rnacentral:lncRNA from 1 species
AUUAGGUUACAAUAUUAUUAAUAGUAUCAACUACUUGCUAUUAGGUUUUCGGCCCUAAGAUGAAGGGAUGUGUGGUCAGGAUGAUAGUAGCCCCUAGGGUUGAGGAGGUGGAUAAUUGAAUAGCAUGAUUUAACAGAUGAAAAUGGCCAAAGGGGUAGAUCUAACGGCAGAAAACUCGAUAGCAUCAAAUGCUUGGUAUUAUCGAUAGUAUAGUAGCCGGACUCUAUAUUUAUAGGUAGAUCUAACGGCAGAAAACUCGAUAGCACAAAACAAUUGGUACUAUAGAUAGUAUAAUAGCCGGACUAUAUAUAUAGAGAGAGAGUCCGGCUACAAUAUUAUCGAUAAUACCAAAUGCUUAGUGCUGUCGAAUUUUUUGCCGUUAGAUCUAUCCGUUUGACCAGUUUCACUCAAUAGAUCAUACUAUUCAACUAACCACCUACUCAACUCUAGGGAAUCACUAUCAUCCUAACCGCACAUCCCUUCAUCCAAGGCCGAAAACCUAAUACCAAGUGGUUGGUACUAUUAAUAAUAUAGUAGACUUUUUAUAUAUACAUAUAUAUGUAUGCAUAUAUAUUUCGAGCUUUUCGAGCCUAAUUCGAGCGAGCCCGGUAAUACUCAAGCUUGGCUUGAAAUUAAUUUCGAGCCUAAAUUUAGGCUCAAGCUCGACUUGAAAUUAAUUCGAGUCGAGCUCGAGCGAGCCGAAUAUCGAGCCGAACGCGAGUCGAACACGAGCCGGCUCGCUCAUUUGCCAGCCCUACA